GGGAAUAGGGUUCUAUAGGGCUCUGGUCUAAAGUAGUGCACUAUAUAGGGAAUAGGGCUCUGGUCUAAAGUAGUGCACUAUAUAGGGAAUAGGACUCUGGUCUAAAGUAGUGCACUAUAUAGGGAAUAGGGUUCUAUAGGGCUCUGGUCUAAAGUAGUGCACUAUAUAGGGAAUAGGGCUCUGGUCUAAAGUAGUGCACUAUAUAGGGAAUAGGACUCUGGUCUAAAGUAGUGCACUAUAUAGGGAAUAGUGUUCUAUAGGGCUCUGGUCUAAAGUAGUGUACUAUAUAGGGA